AUUGGCUUUCCGCUGGAGGAUCGGAAGCGGAAGUGGAGUAUCUUAGCGACCAAGGUUGUUCCCGCCCACGUCGCCGCUAGCAACCGCAGGAACGAGCAGGGCUUUGAGCCAAUGAGAAUCGAGAGUGGGAGGUGGCGAAAGUGGCUAUGUCGGGAGGCUCCCAGAAGGCUUAAACCUGGGUGCUGGGAGCGGUGCGUGACGUAAUGAAGGACAGACUAAAUACAAACUGCUCACCUGAUUCCUCAGUGCAGAAACCUCUGUUCAGUGUGCACUUCGUGGCAUCCUGAAAUCCAGCACCAUUAUGAUGGAGGCAUUAUCCACCGUGUGAUAAAGAUCCCCUGCUCCUCCAUUUCCAUUCAGAAAAAGGCUGGCCUCCCAGUGAUAUCAACUGAACAUGUCAUAAAAAGAUGCAACAAGACUAUGCAUAAACCUUCAUAUCAAGACUGGACCAGGCAACCCAGUUGGAGGAGAAGUCAGAGACACCACCACUCCUAUUGUUAGGAGUUCACGAAAAACCUCAAGAUGAACAAGCACAGCAUGUAUGCAGAGGGGCUAGCACAGACCCCUGCAGGCUUUCUGGUUGCCACUUAAGUCUCUCCGAGCCCAUAUGAGCCCUGUUUAGUUAAUUCUGUGGGCUGUGUUCUCCUACCGUCUUGACCUCUCUGCCUCUUAGACUCCUUCCUGCCCCUCUUCUGUGGGGUUCCUCGAGCUCUGACUAAUAUUUUGCUCUGGGUCUCUGUAUCUGCUCCUAUUAGCUGCUGGAAAAAGCCUCUCUGAUGAUGAUUGGCUAGGCACUGGUCUAUGAGUAUAGCAGAAUAUCAUUAGAAAUCAUUUCCUUUACUUUUUUCCCCCCUUGUCAAUCUGUUUGGUUCUACUCUAGCAGCCUCUGGAUCCAUGCCAUGCAAGCAGUGUUGGGCAUGGGCUCCUUUCUCGUGGCUUGGGCCUCAAGUCAGACCAGUCAAUGGUCUAAGAUGAUCAGGGUAAAAGGCAGUUACUAUAGGGUCAUGAGGCAUGCAUCAAGGGUCAGAGGUAGGGGGCUAUAUGUGUUAUAUAUUUAUUAGUUUUGCAAGAAGUUGAACACGCCUGAAACAACCACUGGUUUCAAGGUUUUUGGUCAUGGAGGACAUGGCUUGCCUUCCACAAGCUGCUCUCCAUGGUUCUGUUUCUUGCAGGAGCAACUAUGUGUGGUCCCUUCCUGGCAUGCUUCCAUAAUUACUGAAGAGGUUUUAAAUUCACUCUCCCAAUGAAUCAGUAUGUUAUGUGUUCAUAUUCAGUGGUUUUAGCUGAAGUGUGAAUCAGUGGCUGAGUACAUACUAAUUAGAGCCAGAACAUUUUCUGCUUCUUGACCCAUCUACUUUAUCCCUUGGCUGAGUUUAACCACUAUCCUUUCCUUAUAAUGAGCCAUGACCCAAACUCAAUAGCUCUCUGUGUUUCCAACUUAUUCUAAUGAAUUAUUGGCUUUCAGAGAAGUCUGAGAACCAAUGACUUAUAGGUGUGUCAGAAGUGAUGGUACUUCACACUUUUCUGUUUGUCUAAACCUCCCUAAGGUGGAUACUUUGUGGACAGAAGGCAAAUGCUAAACCUGUAAUUUUUAUGCUUCUUCAUUAAUUGCUGAACAAUGAAUAAUCUUCAUUUUCCUCAUUAAAUUUAAUUAUGGAAUUUGAUUUUAUACAUUCUGGACUUUUAGACUGAGAAGGUAGCACUAGGUUGUGUGACACUAAAUGUUGGCUUAGUUUUUAAGAAAUGACACACACAUAUAUAAAUAAAUGGAUUAUUAUAGAAGUGGGCUCUGUUCAGACUUUCUGUCAUUGCAGGUACAAUUACUAUAAUAUAUAGCAUGUUUCCAUAUCAGCACUUCUAGUUAUAUGGUAUUUUGUUAUAUAAAGAAUGCAAUGAUUUCUAGUGCAGAUUAUGACAUUGUGCUUUUCCUUUUACUGAUACUUCAUUGGAUAUCUAAUAAUUCCCCAAAUGGGAUUCUGCUCUUCUGCUGGGUGUGUUAAAGUGCCAAAACUUAGAUGUGAGAAAGUUAUUAACUUAAUUGUUUAGUAGAAAAACUUCGUGAGGACUGGAGUCUAGUGAGACACACAGACUCCUACACAAGUCUCUCAUAUGACAGACUGAUACUUUCUACAACUUCCAUACGAGAUGUUGUCAGCCUCUGGGGAUAAUGAAACAGUAAGAGCUUUGUUAAGCAUAUUGUUUUUGUGGAGACUCUCAGAAGAAACUCAUAAUUGCUUUUGGUAAUUAUCAGUCAAAGUUUCAGAAAACUUUUCAGCUACUAAUGCCAGUGGAGACACUGCCAUGGCAAGUGAAAGCAAAAUUGCUUUUCUGAAGGGACCUGAAAUCACAGAGCCACAGACCUUUGUCCCAGGUUUCACCCUUCCUCCAAGUGCUGCCUGUGGUACAGUGAUGUUCUGUAGAUGAGUCUCAGAGGAAGGAACCAGCUGACUGUCUUUUACUCAAGGAAGUGAUAUUACAUUUAGCCUAAACAAAACAAGUGCAGUGAGGGAAUACACCUGGUGUUGUCUUAUUAUCUUUGGUUGUGAGAAAGAGCCAAGAAUAUUCCUCCCUGGUUUCCACAUUUCCCACAGAGAAAAUAUGGACAUGUCAGGGCAUUCCCUUUAAGUUCUUGAUUUAAACUCCAUCCACUUACCAUAGUUCAUGUAAUUUUUUUUUCUAAAAGUAUACCUUGUGAGAACUUUGUGCACUCUGCCCCAUUCUUAGUUCACAGCUUUCUUAUGCAGGCACCCAUCAACCCAGCAGUGACUUAGUUUCUAUGCCAUACUAUCUCACUACAAAUUAGUUUUCAUUUUGUAUA